rnacentral:lncRNA from 1 species
UCAGAGCUGUGGGUCUUGGGGCUCAGGGCCUGGUACACAGUAGGAGGUCAUUAAACAUCCCACACUGGUCAGUUACAGCCUCCUACGUCCCAGCUGUGCGUUUCCUGUGAAAAGAAUAAUGAUCAGCAGCACAAGUUCUAUAAGGGCAGAACCAUGUCUGUCUCCAGAGCCUGGCACAAGGCCUGACACCUAAAGAGCACCCAAAGAACAUCUGUGCCAUCAAUGAAUGAAUGAAUGAAUGAAGCAAUGGUUCCAUCUUGCUCUUGUCUGGGCUCCAGAGCCUGGUAUUCAGAAAAUGUCAUUUCAGCAGAGAACUAACUGGAUGUGGCUGCGGCAGCCCUGAAGAGCCCAUAGAAGAAAAGUUUGAAUUCCCCAGAAUCAGCCCAUUCUUGCAUUAAUUUCAAAACAUAGUUGAGUGCCUACUGUGUGUGCCAGGCACUGGUGGUGGUGAUACAGCAGUAAGCAAGAGAGACAGUAAAAAAUACAGACAAGCAA